rnacentral:rRNA from 2 species
UGAGUAAUGCCUAGGAAUCUGCCUAGUAGUGGGGGAUAACGUCCGGAAACGGGCGCUAAUACCGCAUACGUCCUACGGGAGAAAGUGGGGGAUCUUCGGACCUCACGCUAUUAGAUGAGCCUAGGUCGGAUUAGCUAGUUGGUGAGGUAAUGGCUCACCAAGGCGACGAUCCGUAACUGGUCUGAGAGGAUGAUCAGUCACACUGGAACUGAGACACGGUCCAGACUCCUACGGGAGGCAGCAGUGGGGAAUAUUGGACAAUGGGCGAAAGCCUGAUCCAGCCAUGCCGCGUGUGUGAAGAAGGUCUUCGGAUUGUAAAGCACUUUAAGUUGGGAGGAAGGGCAGUUACCUAAUACGUGAUUGUUUUGACGUUACCGACAGAAUAAGCACCGGCUAACUCUGUGCCAGCAGCCGCGGUAAUACAGAGGGUGCAAGCGUUAAUCGGAAUUACUGGGCGUAAAGCG